GAGUCCUGGGGAUGCUGUGCCCCAGGAAAGAAGUGCAAACUCCCAGGCAGGGCUGGACAAAGCCUAAGAAGUCCUGAGACUGCAUGUGGGCAAGACCAAGCAGGGUCCAGAGCCCGUCUGCUCCACUUUAAGCAGGAUGGUGUGAUGCGGUGGAAGGACAGAAUGAGUCCCAGCCCUGUCGCCAGCUAACAAGGGGACUCAGCUCCUCUCUCUACAUCUCUGAGUCUCAGUUUUGGGAGAGAGCUGCCAAAAUGAGGGACUGGAUGAUCUCUGAGUUCCAUCCCGGCUCUGAAAGCCUCCUCUAUGAGCCUAAAUGUUGGACUUGUUGACAGCACAUGGGUGAAAAACAUUGAUUAAUAGCUCAUUGAUUGGCUUUCCUGGGCACCCCCAACAUGGUACCUUGUUCAGUUAGUUUCAGCUUCAAUGGGUCCUCCAGCCUGUGGCCUUAGCCUGAAAAUCACAGCCUUCUGUCUGAUUUAUGCCAAAUGGCAUUUCCUUGCAGGACUCCUAGUGCCUGGAAAUGUCAUUAAAGAAUCACCGAGCGAGGUAAGGACCAGAUAAAGGGAAGCACCUUCUCGCCUGCACAUCAACACCAUUAAACGCAUUGUUACAGCAGCAACGAAGCUGUCUGAUGAUAUCGUCGGUGGCAACUGGUCAGUGAAAAUGUUUUUUAAUUGUGACUUGAAUGUGUUUAUCAACUUCGCUUUGUGACAUCAAAAAGACAGCAACAGAAACACCGGGAGCUUCAGUCCUCAGGGGGAAACAUUAGUCAUCUGUGAGUGCGCAGGCCUUGGCAGAUGGU
rnacentral:lncRNA from 1 species